rnacentral:tRNA from 1 species
GGGGUGUUAGCUCAGCUGGGAGAGCACCUGCCUUGCACGCAGGGGGGCAUCGGUUCGAUCCCGAUACGCUCCACCA